rnacentral:rRNA from 1 species
GGCUCAGAAUCAACGCUGGCGGCGUGCCUAACACAUGCAAGUCGAACGAGAAAGUCCCCGCAAGGGGAUGAGUAAAGUGGCGAACGGGUGAGUAACACGUAGCUAACCUGCCUUCGAGUGGGGGAUAACCUGGGGAAACCCGGGCUAAUACCGCAUAACGCCCCGGGAGCACAUGCUUCUGGGGUCAAAGGCCCGCAAGGGUCGCUGGAGGAGGGGGCUGCGGCCGAUUAGCUAGUUGGUGAGGUAAUGGCCCACCAAGGCGAUGAUCGGUAGCCGGCCUGAGAGGGCGCACGGUCACACUGGCACUGAAACACGGGCCAGACUCCUACGGGAGGCAGCAGUGGGGAAUUUUGCACAAUGCCCGAAAGGGUGAUGCAGCAACGCCGCGUGAGGGAUGAAGGCCUUCGGGUCGUAAACCUCUUUCGACUGGGAAAAACGGGCGGGUGAAUAAUCCGUCCUGAUGGUACCGGUGGAAGAAGCCCCGGCUAACUACGUGCCAGCAGCCGCGGUAAUACGUAGGGGGCGAGCGUUGUUCGGAAUUAUUGGGCGUAAAGGGCGUGUAGGCGGUGCGGUAAGUCGGGCGUUAAAUCUCCAGGCUUAACUUGGAGGGGCCGUCCGAAACUGCCGUGCUAGGGUGCGGGAGAGGGCAGUGGAAUUCCCGGUGUAGCGGUGAAAUGCGUAGAUAUCGGGAGGAACAUCUGUGGCGAAGGCGGCUGCCUGGACCGCAACCGACGCUGAGGCGCGAAAGCUAGGGGAGCAAACAGGAUUAGAUACCCUGGUAGUCCUAGCCCUAAACGAUGAGCACUGGGUGUGGCCCUGCACGGGGCUGUGCCGAAGCUAACGCAUUAAGUGCUCCGCCUGGGGAGUACGGUCGCAAGGCUGAAACU